rnacentral:rRNA from 1 species
UUGCUGACGAGUGGCGGACGGGAGAGUAAUGUCUGGGAAACUGCCUGAUGGAGGGGGAUAACUACUGGAAACGGUAGCUAAUACCGCAUAACGUCGCAAGACCAAAGAGGGGGACCUUCGGGCCUCUUGCCAUCGGAUGUGCCCAGAUGGGAUUAGCUAGUAGGUGGGGUAACGGCUCACCUAGGCGACGAUCCCUAGCUGGUCUGAGAGGAUGACCAGCCACACUGGAACUGAGACACGGCCCAGACUCCUACGGGAGGCAGCAGUGGGGAAUAUUGCACAAUGGGCGCAAGCCUGAUGCAGCCAUGCCGCGUGUAUGAAGAAGGCCUUCGGGUUGUAAAGUACUUUCAGCGGGGAGGAAGGGAGUAAAGUUAAUACCUUUGCUCAUUGACGUUACCCGCAGAAGAAGCACCGGCUAACUCCGUGCCAGCAGCCGCGGUAAUACGGAGGGUGCAAGCGUUAAUCGGAAUUACUGGGCGUAAAGCGCACGCAGGCGGUUUGUUAAGUCAGAUGUGAAAUCCCCGGGCUCAACCUGGGAACUGCAUCUGAUACUGGCAAGCUUGAGUCUCGUAGAGGGGGGUAGAAUUCCAGGUGUAGCGGUGAAAUGCGUAGAGAUCUGGAGGAAUACCGGUGGCGAAGGCGGCCCCCUGGACGAAGACUGACGCUCAGGUGCGAAAGUGUGGGGAGCAAACAGGAUUAGAUACCCUGGUAGUCCACGCCGUAAACGAUGUCGACUUGG